rnacentral:rRNA from 1 species
ACCUAUGACCAAAUCACCCGGAACGCGCACGAUCUUGUCAGUCCUCGGAAGCUAAAGCAGUGUUGAGCGUGGAUAGUGCUGGGACGGGUGACUACCAUGCAUAAAACAGAUGUUGCAAGGC